GGAGAGGUGGCAGAGUGGUCGAACGCGCCGCACUCGAAAUGCGGUUUACCGCAAGGUAACGUGGGUUCGAAUCCCACCCUCUCCGCCA
rnacentral:tRNA from 1 species